AGGGCACCACCAGGAGUGGAGCCUGCGGCUUAAUUUGACUCAACACGGGAAAACUCACCCGGCCCGGACACUGGAAGGAUUGACAGAUUGAGAGCUCUUUCUUGAUUCAGUGGGUGGUGGUGCAUGGCCGUUCUUAGUUGGUGGAGUGAUUUGUCUGGUUAAUUCCGAUAACGAACGAGACUCUAGCCUACUAAAUAGAUCGUCGGCUUACAAACGCCGGCGAGACUUCUUAGAGGGACAGGCGGUGAUUCAACCGCACGAAACAGAGCAAUAACAGGUCUGUGAUGCCCUUAGAUGUCCGGGGCCGCACGCGCGCUACACUGAAGUGAUCAGCGUGCUUUUUCAACCUACUCUGUCAAGAGUGGGGAACCCAAUGAACCUUCUUCGUGAUUGGGAUAGGGGAUUGUAAUUAUUCCCCUUGAACGAGGAAUUCCCAGUAAGCGCGAGUCAUAACCUCGCGUUGAUUACGUCCCUGCCCUUUGUACACACCGCCCGUCGCUACUACCGAUUGAAUGAUUU
rnacentral:rRNA from 1 species